rnacentral:tRNA from 1 species
GAGGUAUUAGUAAAACAAUUACAUAGCCUUGUCAAGGCUAAAUUGCAAGUGAAACCCCUGCAUACCUCU